UGGGGAAUAUUGCACAAUGGGCGAAAGCCUGAUGCAGCAACGCCGCGUGAGUGAUGAAGGUCUUCGGAUUGUAAAGCUCUGUCUUUUGGGACGAUAAUGACGGUACCAAAGGAGGAAGCCACGGCUAACUACGUGCCAGCAGCCGCGGUAAUACGUAGGUGGCGAGCGUUGUCCGGAUUUACUGGGCGUAAAGGGUGCGUAGGCGGAUGUUUAAGUGAGAUGUGAAAUACCCCGGGCUUAA
rnacentral:rRNA from 1 species